rnacentral:rRNA from 1 species
GAAUGAACGCUGGCGGCGCGCCUAAUACAUGCAAGUCGAGCGAGAAGACGUAGCAAUACGUUUGUAAAGCGGCGAACGGGUGAGGAAUACAUGGGUAACCUACCCUAGAGUGGGGAAUAACUAGCCGAAGGUUAGCUAAUACCGCGUACGCUCCUUGGACUUCGGUUCAGGGAGGAAAGCGAUACCGAGGGUAUCGCGCUCUUGGUUGGGCUCAUGUCCUAUCAGCUUGUUGGUGAGGUAACGGCUCACCAAGGCUUCGACGGGUAGCUGGUCUGAGAGGACGAUCAGCCACACUGGCACUGCGACACGGGCCAGACUCCUACGGGAGGCAGCAGUAAGGAAUAUUGCGCAAUGGGCAAAGCCUGACGCAGCGACGCCGCGUGGGGG